rnacentral:rRNA from 1 species
GAUGAACGCUGGCGGCGUGCUUAACACAUGCAAGUCGAACGAAGCACUAUAGCAGAUUUCCUUCGGGAAUGAAACUGUAUUGACUGAGUGGCGGACGGGUGAGUAACGCGUGGGUAACCUGCCUUGUACAGGGGGAUAACAGUUAGAAAUGGCUGCUAAUACCGCAUAAGCGCACAAGAUCGCAUGGUCUAGUGUGAAAAGCUCCGGCAGUAUGAGAUGGACCCGCGUCUGAUUAGCUAGUUGGUAAGGUAACGGCUUACCAAGGCGACGAUCAGUAGCCGGCCUGAGAGGGCGAUCGGCCACAUUGGGACUGAGACACGGCCCAAACUCCUACGGGAGGCAGCAGUGGGGAAUAUUGCACAAUGGGGGAAACCCUGAUGCAGCGACGCCGCGUGAAGGAAGAAGUAUUUCGGUACGUAAACUUCUAUCAGCAAGGAAGAAAAUGACGGUACUUGACUAAGAAGCCCCGGCUAACUACGUGCCAGCCGCCGCAGU